rnacentral:rRNA from 1 species
UACAUAGGUCUCAAGCGUUGUUCGGAUUCAUUGGGCGUAAAGGGUGCGUAGGCGGCGUGGUAAGUCGGGUGUGAAAUCUCGGAGCUUAACUCCGAAACUGCAUUCGAUACUGCCGUGCUUGAGGACUGGAGAGGAGACUGGAAUUUACGGUGUAGCGGUGAAAUGCGUAGAUAUCGUAAGGAAGACCAGUGGCGAAGGCGGGUCUCUGGACAGUUCCUGACGCUGAGGCACGAAGGUCAGGGGAGCAAACGGG